UCAUCAGUCAAGUUCAACAUCUUCAUUGAAUGAUUCAUCUCCUGAAAUCGAUUGUAAAUCCGAAGUGUUUAAGGAUUCAUCUCGGAGCGUUUCGAAGAUUCAGGAAGCUUAUGAAAUUAAUCGGAUGGAAGAAGAUCUGUAUAACAGUACAGAAAAUUACAUUCUAACAGAAAUUCAAAAGAAAAUGAG